rnacentral:rRNA from 1 species
GAUGAACGCUGGCGGCGUGCCUAAUACAUGCAAGUCGAGCGAACAGACGAGGAGCUUGCUCCUCUGACGUUAGCGGCGGACGGGUGAGUAACACGUGGAUAACCUACCUAUAAUACUGGGAUAACUUCGGGAAACCGGAUCUAAUACCGGAUAAUAUAUUGAACCGCAUGGUUCAAUAGUUAAAGACGGUUUUGCUGUCUCUUAUAGAUGGAUCCGCGCCGCAUUAGCUAGUUGGUAAGGUAACGGCUUACCAAGGCAACGAUGCGUAGCCGACGUGAGAGGGAGAUCGGCCAAACGGGAAGUGAGACACGGACAAGACGCCUACGGGAGGAAGCAGUAGGGAAUCUUCCGCAAUGGGCGAAAGCCUGACGGAGCAACGCCGCGUGAGUGAUGAAGGUCUUCGGAUCGUAAAACUCUGUUAUUAGGGAAGAACAAAUGUGUAAGUAACUAUGCACGUAUUGACGGUAACUAAUCAGAAAGCCACGGCUAACUACGUG